rnacentral:rRNA from 1 species
CUCGUAGGCGGUCUGUCACGUCGGGCGUGAAAAUCCAGGGCUUAACCCUGGACCUGCGUUCGAUACGGGCAGACUAGAGUUCGGUAGGGGAGACCGGAAUUCCUGGUGUAGCGGUGAAAUGCGCAGAUAUCAGGAGGAACACCGGUGGCGAAGGCGGGUCUCUGGGCCGAUACUGACGCUGAGGAGCGAAAGCGUGGGGAGCGAACA